rnacentral:rRNA from 1 species
CGGCGGACGGGUGAGUAACGCGUGGGUAACCUGCCUCAUACAGGGGGAUAACAGUUGGAAACGGCUGCUAAUACCGCAUAAGCGCACAGUACCGCAUGGUACGGUGUGAAAAACUCCGGUGGUAUGAGAUGGACCCGCGUCUGAUUAGGUAGUUGGUAGGGUAACGGCCUACCAAGCCGACGAUCAGUAGCCGACCUGAGAGGGUGACCGGCCACAUUGGGACUGAGACACGGCCCAA